CAGCCCGGAUUCGAACCCUGGUUUCACGGACGGAAGGCGCCGCAAACCAGCACGAGCUAAACCGGCUCCCUGCACACUCUGGAGAGACUUACACACCAGAAAAUACGGGAGGUGCUGUGUGAGGCAGGGUGUGAAAAGGUUCCCUGGAGACAGACUUUGCUACAUCGACAGCACCUAAAGCGCUGUCACUCAGUCGCCGUUGCACUGCAGCAUAAACAUCCCUCACUUCUUCUGCUCGCAGCCGUGUUGCCAGGCAGCAGAGGGAUCUCCAGGAUUUUGGUGUUGGAUUGCAUAACUUCGUGGCUGGCAGUGGAGACAGUUUUGCCGGUAAUGCGAU